rnacentral:rRNA from 1 species
AUUGAACGCUGGCGGCAUGCUUUACACAUGCAAGUCGAACGGUAACAGGCCGCAAGGUUCUGACGAGUGGCGAACGGGUGAGUAAUGCAUCGGAACGUGCCCAGUCGUGGGGGAUAACUACUCGAAAGAGUAGCUAAUACCGCAUACGAUCUAUGGUUGAAAGCGGGGGACCGUAAGGCCUCGCGCGGUUGGAGCGGCCGAUGACCGAUUAGGUAGUUGGUGGGGUAAAGGCUCACCAAGCCAACGAUCUGUAGCUGGUCUGAGAGGACGACCAGCCGCACUGGGACUGAGACACGGCCCAUACUCCUACGAGAGGCAGCAGUGGGGAAUUUUGGACAAUGGGCGGAAGCCUGAUCCAGCAAUGCCACGUGUAGGAAGGAGGCCUUCGGGUUGUAAACUGGUUUUGUACGGAACGAAACGGCUUUGGUUAAUACCCGGGGCUAAUGACGGUACCGGAAGAAUAAGCACCGGCUAACUACGUG